rnacentral:rRNA from 1 species
AGUGAACGCUGGCGGCAGGCCUAACACAUGCAAGUCGAACGGACCCUUCGGGGUUAGUGGCGGACGGGUGAGUAACACGUGGGAACGUGCCUUUAGGUUCGGAAUAGCUCCUGGAAACGGGUGGUAAUGCCGAAUGUGCCCUUCGGGGGAAAGAUUUAUCGCCUUUAGAGCGGCCCGCGUCUGAUUAGCUAGUUGGUGAGGUAACGGCUCACCAAGGCGACGAUCAGUAGCUGGUCUGAGAGGAUGACCAGCCACAUUGGGACUGAGACACGGCCCAAACUCCUACGGGAGGCAGCAGUGGGGAAUCUUGCGCAAUGGGCGAAAGCCUGACGCAGCCAUGCCGCGUGGAUGAUGAAGGUCUUAGGAUUGUAAAAUCCUUUCACCGGUGAAGAUAAUGACUGUAGCCGGAGAAGAAGCCCCGGCUAACUUCGUGCCAGCAGCCGCCGUAA